GAGAGACAAAGAAAGAAAGAAAGAGGAGGAUGCAAAAUCAAGUACUUCAAUAAGAAUACUUUUUUCUGCUUUUAAUAGAGUAACUAAAAGGUUUCCCAGAGAUUAGAGAUUGUAAAUCAGAAACGACAAAGAACUGCUAUGAUUUCCCAUUUAGUGCUCCUCUAACCUGAUUAGAGAUUGUAAUUUAAUAAGAAUUUCUCAAGUUUAGGAGUAGUAGUACGUAAAGAAAGUUGGACAUAUGGUAAGUCUUGACUCUUGAGAAACUGCUAGAGCAUGGCCUUCUGAAAAUAUUUCUUAAAUUUUUCAACAAAUUACCAACAACAAACCAAUAGCAGUUUAGUAAGAAUUUUGAGUACAGCCAGUACGUAAUCAUAUUCUCCAUGGACCAUGGUUACACUAUAUUAUUGAUAAAAGGAAAUUGCAAUUCAUAUAGCGUAUAUGAGGUAAAAGUAGGCAGAGAAGUCCAGUGAGCGAUCUAGAGUAUAAAAGCACAAAGGUAAACACAACAGGGAAACAAAUAUACAAACAAGAUUGACAAUUGCAGAAUACCUGAACUCAAUCUUGCUUGCAUU
rnacentral:misc_RNA from 1 species